AACUGCAUCUAUACCAUUUGGGCUGUAGUCUCAUCAGAUCUUAUAAACUAAGCAGCAUUGAGCCUGGUCAGUGUUUGGAGGUGAGAACCCAAGGAACACCCAGCUGCUGAAGCAA
rnacentral:rRNA from 1 species